GGCCGUGAACCGGCGGAGACGGAGGACAGGACCGGGUCCUGCUUCUGCUGCUGUUCCCUUUACAUGUGCAGAUAAAGGUGGAGUCAUGGUGUGUCAUCAGCCUCAUGAGAGUAAGCAGAGGAGAAAGCUGCCCUCCGGUGGAGACGGAGUGCACUGCACCCCUGCUGCUCACGGCCCAGUUUAGCCUCUCUGUCCAGUCAGGGGGGGUUCUGGUCGGUAACCGGCUUGCCUACACUGCAGUCAGUGGUGGAUAGGAUGUUACUGCAGGUGAGUAUUGUCCGUCCACUACUGCAGAUUGAUGCUCUCUAUCUCUGGCUUGUUUCUGUCCUCUGCGAUGGACCCCAGUGUGUGAGUGUGUGCGGGUGGCGAGGGUCAGCUGGUGUUGUGAAUCAGGCCGCUGAAGUGGUGACACGGCUUCUUCACAACACCAGGGCUCCUCGCCGCCAUAUCCUGCGGUCUGUGUGACACGUGUGCACUCCUCAGAUACUGCACAUCAGAGUAGACGUACAGGUAGAGAUGAGCCCUGUAAGGAUCUGCAAAGUGUUGGAACUGUAUCUUUGUAUUAUUACCAGUGUGUACACAGAAUAUGCCAGCACUUCAUUGCAAAAAUAUGUAAUUUCAUAAUAAGGUUGUUUUCUUUUAAAUGGUGUGACAAUGUCACUGAUGCUAAAGGUAUUUUCAUCUGGCGUUCUCACACUAAACUAGGGGCCAGCAUCUUGGAGUAUGAACAAUAAGACAACAGCAACCUGUGCUGCAUGACGUACCCCUCUCUCUGAAUCCUACAUUUCAGACCUAAUGAAUACAUGUUUUGUACACAGUAGAGCAGAUGCGUUUGGCUGAAUCCGACUCUGACAGCAGACAAUGGCUUGAUCCUGUCCAGACGUACAGCGACGUCUGUCUGCUGUCCAUCCAGAUCUGCUGUCUUGGCUCUGAAAUGAGUUCUCUAACAGUGUUCAGUAUGUGCAUGUUUGAGUGGUAAAUAAACACCUUGUGACUGAAGGAACAA